rnacentral:ncRNA from 1 species
CAACGGCAAAGUAAGGUGUUUGCCAGAGAGCAAUCCCUUUGAGCUUAUUAGGGUUUUGACAUUUUCCCCAUUGGGUAAGAGGUUAAUCCUUGAAAGAAAAAUUUAGAA